rnacentral:rRNA from 1 species
AUUGAACGCUGGCGGCGUGCGUAACACAUGCAAGUCGAUCGGUAACAGGUGUAGCAAUACAUGCUGACGAGAGGCGGACGGGUGAGUAAUGCUUGGGAAUCUGCCUAUUAGUGGGGGACAACCCGGGGAAACUCGGGCUAAUACCGCAUACGCUCUACGGAGGAAAGCCGGGGACCGCAAGGCCUGGCGCUAAUAGAUGAGCCCAAGUCGGAUUAGCUAGUUGGUAGGGAACGGCCUACCAAGGCGACAAUCCGUAGCUGGUCUGAGAGGACGACCAGCCACACCGGAACUGAGACACGGUCCGGACUCCUACGGGAGGCAGCAGUGGGGAAUAUUGGACAAUGGGGCAACCCUGAUCCAGCGACGCCGCGUGGGUGAAGAAGGCCUGCGGGUUGUAAAGCCCUUUCGGGUGGGGAAGAAAAGUCUCGACCUAAUACGUCGGGACCUUGACGUAA